AUAUAUUUAUCUUGUUUAAGACCACCUCAAGCCUUUCCCAGGAGAGCAAGGACUAUCAGCUCCAUUGCUCUGCUGUGCUCAGCACGGAAAGCAGCGGUGGCAGUGGGGGCUGGCUGGGUUCCCCACCCACCACCGCUGUGACGCUUCUGUUCUCAGCUCCGUACUCUCAGUUCUCCUCCCCACCACCCCCAGCUGCCGCCGGUGCUGACGACUGCUGCAUGCUUUCCUCACAGCUGAAGCAAACCCUGCUGCAUUUCUGCUUCCUCCUGCAGGACAGAUUUACUCACUGUGGUGACCCUGUGGUUGCCACAUGUUAGUUAUGUUAAAGGCACGGCUCCGGAUCUAAUGAAAUCCAUCAGGUUUGUCAUUGCAUAGCAGGAAGCUGAAGAGCGCGGAGGCAGGAAGAGGAUUGCUGCGGUGCUGUGAUGGAAGGAUCUCUGGUGCUGGGCUCUGGCCAUGGCUGCGGUGCUGGGAAGGGGCUGGGGGUGCUGAUCCCUCUGUUGCCGUAACUCCCAGAGCCAACACACAGAUCACGUCGUAUCUGGGCUUCGGCAUCAUGUUGAGUCAGAGAUGACAGCAGCAGAUCCACUUCAUGAGUCAUCUGCUUAAUCCCUCUCCAGACAGAGGGCUCUUCCUUUUGUUAUUAGUCAGUGUGUCAGCGCUGCCUUACUGUUAGAUGUGCUGGUUGUUGUUUUCUUGCUGGCUAAAUGAGGUCAUUUUUUUCUGUGCUUUUGACUCUGGCAGUGGCAUUUCCAGCCCUGGCAAGGAUUUCUACCUCUGUAGGUUAGCUGGGUUCAUGCCGUGCUCCAGCAGACUGCUUCCCCUCCUGGAGGGAGAGCUGGCGAGGAGGUCUCCCACGAAGGAGCCGAUCGAAUCCAUUGGGAAUGCUGGGACAAGAAAGGCUGACAAACUGCAGUGCCGCAUCAAAAAGCGACUAAAAAUGGAAUCCUAGGUCAUCCCGGGAAGCAGCAGUGCCCUGCCGGUACCCCGCACUGGUGCCAGUGCUGCCCAGCACCUGCCGCAGCUGAGCUGAGCUGCCUGCAAUUGGUCCAGAAGGAAAGGAGCAGUAAGAACUCUGUGCCCCAUGCCUUUCCCAGGUAGGUGUGCCGAGGCCGGCCUCUCAUCAUCAGCUCCUCCCUCUGACAGGGAAGGAGAUUGAGACAGAAAGGUUUUUAAGGUCAGCACCAUCUAUUCAAAGCAAGACUAGAAGGCCUGACCUUUUUCAAAUGGUAAGUGUUGUCAGUGCUCCCAUUGGGAUUUUUCCCCAGGUGACUGCUUAAAUGUCACUAGUGGUAAACCAGGGGACUGGAACCACUGUGAACUCCUUUGUUUCCUUCAUGAGACAUCAUUGAGAGCUUUUAAUCAGGUUAUAUAUUUUCCUAAAGUUGAAAACAUACUGGAGAGAGGGAAUAUAAAUACAUUUUUCCUACCAUAUCCAUUUUGUGAAAACAAAGUUUGCGAUGUUGUCUGUCUUUAGCAAUGCAAAAGAGACAUCUUGUAUGGCUGCAAUUAACACUCCAGCAAUAACUCAGUGGCGUACAUUCCUUGUGUUUAUUGAUUAGUGAACAAGCCCCCUGGGGUUUACAUGGCUUCCAACACAUUUGGUUCCAGCUGAAUACCUGCAGCGUGCAUUGAUCUAAGUGUGUGAUUUCCCCUCAAUAUCAGCCUUCCUCUCCUACUGCAUCACAGCUGCAUGUGCUCAUGUAGCUGUGCAAACCAAGUGGCUGAAAAUGAAAAAUCGCCCUGUGAAAAAUGAAAGGGCACCUGUUCCAGUCUCUGCUGGCACCCAUGAGCCCUCUGUCACAUCGAGGUUACACCUGCAUAAUUCACUUCCCUACAAUAGAGCUACUCCUGAUUUCUAUUUGUGUGUGAGGAGAAGCUCAGGUCCCUCCGGGGCUGUGGCAGCUCAGUGCUUCAAAGCAUCAGGUCCAGAAAAGGACCUGAUAGCAAAGUUCAAAACGAUUGGAUACUCACUUCUUUACACCUUUGGUUUUCUUUGUGAAUGUACCUACAGAUCGCGGCACAGGCAUUUCCAGUAUAGGUGUGGCUGCAGUCAUUCCUGCUCAUUCUUUUGAAGGUACACAUGCUUACAAAAGAGCAGGAUGUGAAAGCCGAUGAACACGUCUGAACGGACACAGUGACCAACUGAAGGUGGAGGGUGAUGAGCAGCGGGAGGAGCUGCUCAGCAGAAUGAGGGCUUCAGCUGGGUGGGAGCUGGGGAUGUGCAUCCUGCUGUGGCUGUGCGUGUGGCAGGGGUGGGGAUGGGCAGAGAGGAAUGCUGCUGAGGAGGAGGAAGGCUGCGGGAAGAGGGUGCUAGAGCUGUGGGAGUAAUGAGCUGCUGCUGUCAGCUCCUCAGCCUCUGAGCUAUUUAAAAGUUGAUACUGGAGUAUUAAAUGGUGUGUGGCAAGGAGGAUGGAGGUGCGGGUGAGUUUUCAAGCCGGAGUUAUGGUGCAGGCUAAUUCUGCCGUUCUAUUCAUAGCUGCAUGGUAGAAGAGCAUAGGCUGCAUGUGGAGGAGUGAGAAGAAGCUGAUAAGGAAAUUAGCAAGCAUUAAUGCAUCUGUGAUGGGAAAUGUCUUCUUACAGCUGCAUGUUGUGCUGCUCCUAACCAAGAUGAAGCACUGGUGCUGCCUCUGCUUUCAGCUGCCAUGGCCUCAGCCAGUCCUCGUCAGAAGGGUCACACUGUGAGGACUCCUGAACACAGGGCUGUGUGGGUCCCAGCAACUCCAGGGCUGUUUCUUCAGGGCUCUGGUGCCUGUGCUCUGCUUGCUGCCGCCAGCAGGGAUGAUCCACUUGCCGAGCAGGAAGGUUGCACAUAUUUAUUUUCAUUCAGGCCAUGCUGUCCCUGGAAAGUUGCUGCUAAGAACCGAGACAGUUCCUGAUAUCCGAACAUUGCCUUUCUGCUCUUAUGUUUCCUUAUAUAUUCUCAUCUGCCAUGUGAACAGCAGACUCUGCUCCUCAAAGCCUUGGAAAUGAAGCCCACCAGAAACCAGUCUCGGCUUUGACAAGAAAGGUUUCGAGGUGAAUCCCGAAUGCCAUUGGAAGAUGUAUCUGUGUCCGACAGCAUCCUUUGCUUCCCUGCUAUUCUGAAGCAAUAUCUAGCAGGAAGAAUACCUGCUCACCACUGCUGGCUCCCAGUGGUCCCACAAGGAGGGCUGCCUGCUCUCUGGUGCAGCAGAGGCUCCAACAAGCGGCUGUCUUGCAGCUUGCAGAACCCACUGCAGCUCCGAGGAGGCCCCAGGCACUGCCUGCCGCCAUCCGCUCCCGUCCCACUGAGCGCAGGAUUUCCAUCAGCGCUCUGAUGUCUGGAUGGAAACUGGGACUGCGGCUCAUGCAUAUACAGACGGAGCUGCUGGACCAGUAAUUCUUCUGUCUCUUUUUCUGUAUCUAGGACGUAGCCCUGAAUUGAAUCUCUGAAAAUGGAAGGUCCGGCCUCAGAAGCGGGGUGAGGAUUUGGAUGUGCGUGGCUCUGCCCUCACUGCGGAGGAGGAAGGGGCUCCAUCCUUCGGGGGGGAAUUCCAGUUUAGGGUAAUGCAAAUGGAAACACCAUGUGUGUCCUUUUUCAUUCAAAUUACAUACAAAAAAAUUGUGAUACGAGUCAUGAGCAAAGGCAGAACAGAGCCUAGAGUCUUUAAUCUUUAAAAUCUAUUUUACAUGAUUAAAAGGAUCCUGCCUGGAGAAAAGCAAGACUGGCUAUUUAUAUCUCCAUUCUUCUCCCCCCUCUCUUUUUUCCUCAGAAAAUACUGUGCAGUCUUUCACAUCUGAAAGACCACGGCUGGCUGCCAUUAAUUUUAAUGCUAAAUCCUCAUCAGCAUUUCAAAACAUUAUGAAAAUGUCGAAGAAACUGUCUUCUAGUAGCUUGAAAAUAUUGCAGGCAGCAACCUAAAUAAUACUGUAAGUGCCCUGGUAAGUACAAGAGCACAUGCUGGAAAGGAAAAGAGAAAAAGAAAAGGCUUUAGACCACCACGCAAACAUCACUUCUACAAAGCAGGCGUAAAUGGAUUGCAGGAUUUCAUGGAUGCUGAGAGUUUGAAUUACUGCCUGAGCUGCACCUCUCUUAGAGAGAACGUGGCUUUCUUUUUAGGGAAUGCAUCAAAGACUGAAUGCUGCUGUUUGCUGUGCAAUCUGCUCUGUGGAUGAGUGCAUAAAUAACCUUACAUGUUGGGUCCUGUUUUGGCCAGCAAAUACAAUUAAAGGAAUGGAAUAUGUCACCGACUAUAAUAUUGGUGCUCAAUUCUGCUGCAUUUGCAAAGAUGAUGGAUGCCAAUUAAAUUGAAAUCAAUGGCCAUGGGCUAAGCAAAUGAUGACUCUGAUCAAAGCAUUCCUCCUUAGCAAAGCAGUAAAUCGGUUCCUAAACUGAAAUACAUCUUCUUCGUGGUUCUACUUAAAAUUAAGCACAUGCUUAAGAAACUUCCUGUUUAGGGAAGAGUUGAAAAUGCAUUUUGGAGCUUAGUUUUUAACUGGGAGUAUCCAUUCUUACCUGGCUCUAAGUGGAUGGCAUUUAUAGGGACGGUGACACACGUGCCAGAUUUCAGUGGGGUUUCAGGACACACUCUUGCUGUCUCACGCUCCGUUGUAUUUAUGGCAGUCCAGCAGGAUGGGGAACUGUAUGAGGAUUUCAGAACUGCGUGCUAUUUCUGCUUUCUUUCAUGAUGAGGCUUUUCCUGAAGUUUGCCCUUCGAUGGGACGGAGCAUAAGGGAGUGCUCCUCCUCUCCUCCUUUGGCAGUAUGUGGGAUGCUGCCACAUGGGGUGACUCUCAUAUGGUCAGUUUUGCAGCAGGGAUUUCCUUCACCUUGAGAACCAGUUUUUGAGUAACCCCAACUCUACCUGCUUCUCUAAGAAUUCAAGUGAUUUGAUCUUUCUAAAUGUUGUUGCUUUUUUCUUUGUGAAAGAGAUUUGGAAAAGUAUAGCUGCACUUUGAAAAUAAUUUUAAAAUAAUUAAAAUAAUGAUGAAAUUCUCCAAGGGCAAAAAGCUUCCUGUUUUUCCUAGCAGUAAGUGGGACAAGCACUAUCUCCAAGCAAAUGCCAUUAAAAAGCUCGGUUUUGCUGGGAAAUCUCAGGCUUUGCUGGGAAAAAGUACCGUCAGAGACAGAGAUGGGAAACUUUCAGCCUCUGUGCUGCUUUUUCUCUUUGUGAUUAAAUACCAGGUUGAAGUAUCAUCAACAGCGCGGAUUCUGAAGAAUACAUGAGAAUGCACUUGAGGUUAGAAAGCUUGUCUUUUAUUCACCGUGUUGUUGUUGUUGUUGUUUUUUUUUAAAGCCACUAGACUGUUCUUGAAAUGAAUCACUGAGAGGGUGAGAUGAAGGCUGGAGGUGCACGCUAUGUUUUCAUCGCCAGCUCCUCGCAGCCCAGGUAUGAUGUCAAGCCUCACCUCCGAGAAGCACUUCUCUUCCUGCCUGGCUCUCCGUGGUGGCAUCAUUAACGUUGAUGGCUAUAAUUGACUACAAAAAGCAGACCUUUAGUCCCCACCUGAUCUUUCGGAGUGUUUAUACACUGCGAGCCUGACCACACAGCAGACUAAUGAGCAUUACACUUGACAAAUAUUGUCAUGCCUAAACAGGAGAUAAUGCUUCUGCUAAGACAAGCAGCAAGCCUGGGGGCACAUCACGCUUAAAUAGGAAAGUUAGGAACCAAUAUUCUCUUCUGCUCUCUGGGUCCCAUCCAGAUCCUCAGUGCCAGUGAAGGCUUUCAGCUGUGAGCUUUGCAUCUCGAAGAAGAAGCCCUUAAGCACGCUGCACAACCACAUAGAAAGGCAUUGUGCAGUGGAACAGUGUGAAGAUGAAUCCCUUUGUAAUAACACUGUGUGGUAACUGCUGGGUCAUGGCCUGAAGCACUCACUGAGCACCUGGGGAAAGGACCCGGUCAGCCCUGGGAGCACAG